rnacentral:misc_RNA from 1 species
GGAAAUUAAAAUCAACUUGAAGCCGACUUAACCAACUAUUGUAGAUAAGUUUUAAGUAUGUACCUUUAAUGCUCACAAAGCAAAUCUGAUGCAGGGUGUUCAUCCAAGCAAAGUUUACUUAACAAGGUCCUGAAGAUAAACGAUUAAUGGAAAAUGUCGGAAUGAGUCUCAAGGCUUAGCCCAUGAUUUUCUCCCAGUGUCCUUUUUGCUUUAGCUCCUUCCUUUCCUUUUUUUUUUUACUCACUUUUUUAGGGCGUCCUUCUGGAUUUUCACCCUUCAUUCAUUUUGCAAAAAGCACCCUUGCGGGUUUUUGCCUCCUUUCUCACAUUUUGCUAGGAGCACCCUUUCGGGUUUUCGCUCUUAGAUGCACCAGUUGCCUGUUAAUUGUUUACCUUCCUGGGAGUGAAUAUGGUGGCUGCCGCUUCUUCAAAAUGUCAAUCAAGUUUUCUUCUUCAUCAGUCCAGCGUUCUUCUUCUACAGCUGCUUUUCUUUCCUUUCAUUUGGGGAUCGAUUGGUUGUUUCGUUUUGGCCAUGGGAGAGUUUUGAAGAUUUCGGCUAAAAGAAAACAGAUUUUAUUCUUUAUCAGUUGAGGUUUUGAAGGUUUCGGGUAAAAGAAAACAGAAAAUAGAGAGAUGAUGAGUUAGGGAUUCGUAGGUUUGAGAGGACUUGGGGUUUCUUGUAACUGAUAAUGGGAAAAAGAAAUUUAAUUGCUGCAGAGAGUGAUUGAUUGAUGGUAGCAGUUUCUUGCACUCAAGAAACCGUUGGCACAAAGAAUUUUGAAAAUUUUAAAGGUAAAAGAAUU